rnacentral:rRNA from 1 species
ACGAACGCUGGCGGCGUGCUUAACACAUGCAAGUCGAACGGAAAGGCCCUGCUUUUGUGGGGUGCUCGAGUGGCGAACGGGUGAGUAACACGUGAGUAACCUGCCCUUGACUUUGGGAUAACUUCAGGAAACUGGGGCUAAUACCGGAUAGGAGCUCCUGCUGCAUGGUGGGGGUUGGAAAGUUUCGGCGGUUGGGGAUGGACUCGCGGCUUAUCAGCUUGUUGGUGGGGUAGUGGCUUACCAAGGCUUUGACGGGUAGCCGGCCUGAGAGGGUGACCGGCCACAUUGGGACUGAGAUACGGCCCAGACUCCUACGGGAGGCAGCAGUGGGGAAUAUUGCACAAUGGGCGGAAGCCUGAUGCAGCAACGCCGCGUGCGGGAUGACGGCCUUCGGGUUGUAAACCGCUUUCGCCUGUGGCGAAGCGUGAGUGACGGUAAUGGGUAAAGAAGCACCGGCUAACUACGU